rnacentral:rRNA from 1 species
CAGCAGCCGCGGGAAUACGUAGGUGGCAAGCGUUGUCCGGAAUUAUUGGGCGUAAAGCGCGCGCAGGUGGUUUAAUAAGUCUGAUGUGAAAGCCCACGGCUCAACCGUGGAGGGUCAUUGGAAACUGUUAAACUUGAGUGCAGGAGAGAAAAGUGGAAUUCCUAGUGUAGCGGUAAAAUGCGUAGAGAUUAGGAGGAACACCAGUGGCGAAGGCGGCUUUUUGGCCUGUAACUGACACUGAGGCGCGAAAGCGUGGGGAGCAAACAGGAUUAGAUACCCCAGUAGUCCCUGUCUCUUAUAC